AUUGAACGCUGGCGGCAUGCCUUACACAUGCAAGUCGAACGGCAGCACGGGAGCAAUCCUGGUGGCGAGUGGCGAACGGGUGAGUAAAGUAUCGGAACGUGCCCAGUCGUGGGGGAUAACGUAGCGAAAGUUACGCUAAUACCGCAUACGAUCUAUGGAUGAAAGCGGGGGAUCGCAAGACCUCGCGCGAUUGGAGCGGCCGAUAUCAGAUUAGGUAGUUGGUGGGGUAAAGGCUCACCAAGCCGACGAUCUGUAGCUGGUCUGAGAGGACGACCAGCCACACUGGGACUGAGACACGGCCCAGACUCCUACGGGAGGCAGCAGUGGGGAAUUUUGGACAAUGGGCGAAAGCCUGAUCCAGCCAUGCCGCGUGCAGGAUGAAGGCCUUCGGGUUGUAAACUGCUUUUGUGCGGAACGAAAAGGUUUGGGUUAAUACCUCGGGGUAAUGACGGUACCUGAAGAAUAAGCACCGGCUAACUACGUGCCAGCCGCCGCAGUAAGAC
rnacentral:rRNA from 1 species